UACAGAGGGGGCAAGCGUUAUUCGGAAUUAUUGGGCGUAAAGGGCGCGUAGGCGGCUUUGCAAGUGGCGGGUGAAAUCCCUCGGCUUAACCGAGGAACUGCCUGCCAGACUGUGAGGCUUGAGACCGGGAGAGGUGAGUGGAAUUCCCAGUGUAGCGGUGAAAUGCGUAGAUAUUGGGAGGAACACCGGUGGCGAAGGCGGGAUCCUGGGCCAGUACUGACGCUGAGGAGCGAAAGCGUGGGGAGCAAACAGG
rnacentral:rRNA from 1 species